AGAGUUUGAUCAUGGCUCAGAUUGAACGCUGGCGGCAGGCCUAACACAUGCAAGUCGAGCGGUAGCACAGAGAGCUUGCUCUCGGGUGACGAGCGGCGGACGGGUGAGUAAUGUCUGGGAAACUGCCUGAUGGAGGGGGAUAACUACUGGAAACGGUAGCUAAUACCGCAUAACGUCGCAAGACCAAAGUGGGGGACCUUCGGGCCUCAUGCCAUCAGAUGUGCCCAGAUGGGAUUAGCUGGUAGGUGGGGUAACGGCUCACCUAGGCGACGAUCCCUAGCUGGUCUGAGAGGAUGACCAGCCACACUGGAACUGAGACACGGUCCAGACUCCUACGGGAGGCAGCAGUGGGGAAUAUUGCACAAUGGGCGCAAGCCUGAUGCAGCCAUGCCGCGUGUGUGAAGAAGGCCUUCGGGUUGUAAAGCACUUUCAGCGGGGAG
rnacentral:rRNA from 1 species